rnacentral:lncRNA from 1 species
UUUCAUUAUACAUUAGAUCAUAACAAAUGAUUGUUUAAUUUAGAUAUACAGUGAGUUCUUAACUGUUUCAGACUACUGUUAAUUUAGAUAAAACUACUUCAAUAAGGUUAAGAGGUCCAAUCUACGUUAAUUACUACAAACCUGUCAAUUUGUCAACCUGCUGAAUUCAAGCUUAGCCCUGUACUAAAACGUCUUGCGAACUAGUAUGCCUUCCAUUAUUUAAGCUAUAUCGCCAUCUAGUGGAAAAAACUAAGAAAACUCUGGUGGUAUGUAGAUUUGUUUUUCAAAAUCUUUUUUUUUCAGCUUUAUAGUUUAAAUUCUUUUUCUUUCACUGUUACUGUAGAAAUCACCCGGAAUGAUGAAGACUGUCGUACUGCUAGUCUGUUUCAUAGGCACAAAUAUUGCAUUUCCUGUAAGUAAACAUCUUAUCUAAGUCGAUUUUCAUACCAACAACUCUACUUUGUCACGAAUAAAUAGGAAUAACCACGGACAUUUAAAUAUGCAAAUAUCGUUUGACGAAUUUUCCUUAUAAAUAGCCUUAAAUACUGUAAGUAAAAAUACAAUUCCAAGCUUUUUUUUCCGAAUGCAAACCUUUUAUUUUAAUUGUUUCCAUUAUUUAAACUGUAGCUGUAUCAAGCAAACAUUGGACUGUCUGCAAGUAACAGCCUGGAGGUAAAUGCCUUUAAAUGUAUUUCCUACAUUUGAUAUAUUGAAAUUGCGCGUUCAAGAGUCUCCUCACUGAUUUUGUUUUACGUUGUGUAUUUCUUCAUCCAGAUCUUGCGGAUGAAUGGUCUUGGCUACACUACUGGACUUGACUACACUGGUUUAGGACAAUCGCUGGCCCUGCCAUACGUUCAGUCUUUGGUGCCCCAGCUGCCUCAGGGCGGUGGCCAAGUACUAGAGCAGGUGCCCCUGCCAGCCCAGAGCCCCGUGGGUCCUCAGGUAGUGUUUCAGAGACAAGGCCUGGUGAGCCCGCAGUUCCUGCUGCCUGCGCAGGCCCCGCUGCACCCGGCAGUGCUUCUGCCGGCACAGUCGCAGGUGUUUUUCCCCCCGAGGAAUGUUUUUCCCGUGGGUGCGCUGCCUCCCCCGGUGAUCCUCUCCUCGCGCACCGGCCAAGGCCAGAUGCCGCAGGGUCAGAGCCCACUGGAUCCCCUGGUGCCGGAGCAACCACAACAGACACAGCCACAGGUUGUUUCAAUCAACCCCACUUCAAUGUAUCCACGUCAGACACAACAGUUCCAGGGCUACCCACUCUACAACUACUAUCAGUUCCUUCGACAGCAAAGUAGCUCGUCACUCCCAACACAAGUGCCAGAGGGGACACCUUCUGAACCUGCCAUCCUCCCUCCAACACCUGGACCUUUACAGAGAACUCCUCUAAAUCAUGAAGAAGACAUAAAAGAAACCCAAACUCAAGCAGCACAGGAGUCUACCACUGUGUCAUUUCCAGAAGCUUAUCACAUGCCUACCACUCCUUCUGAUCAGGAUGUUAAUGCAGUUACAGAUGAGCCAAAUGUUGCAAGCCUCAUGGAGCCAUAGAGGAAGACUUUUGAACAGACAGUAGCUAAAAGGGUGAAGGAAAAUCACCACAGAUAUGUUUUGGAUGAGUGCCCCCUAAAGUAAAAAAGCUGAAUCUGUGAGAUGUACAGUAUUAACCACAGUAACACUGUUGCAAGCAUGUUAAAUAUCUGGAGUCCUUCCAUUGUUUUUAUUGCUUUACAUGGAAAAAUAAAACCUCUUGUCAAGCUCCCAGCAUUAACACUGUUUUGUUAAAUGAUAAACUAUUUAAUUAAAUCUGCAUGUUCUUUCUUGGUACUGUACAUACUGUAUGCUAUGUCCAAAACAAAAAUCAAUAAAGUUUUGUUCUUGUAGCCCCACAAAUGUGUGUUUUCACUGAC